GAUGAACGCUGGCGGCGUGCCUAAUACAUGCAAGUCGAGCGAACGGACGAGAAGCUUGCUUCUCUGAUGUUAGCGGCGGACGGGUGAGUAACACGUGGAUAACCUACCUAUAAGACUGGGAUAACUUCGGGAAACCGGAGCUAAUACCGGAUAAUAUUUUGAACCGCAUGGUUCAAAAGUGAAAGACGGUCUUGCUGUCACUUAUAGAUGGAUCCGCGCUGCAUUAGCUAGUUGGUAAGGUAACGGCUUACCAAGGCAACGAUGCAUAGCCGACCUGAGAGGGUGAUCGGCCACACUGGAACUGAGACACGGUCCAGACUCCUACGGGAGGCAGCAGUAGGGAAUCUUCCGCAAUGGGCGAAAGCCUGACGGAGCAACGCCGCGUGAGUGAUGAAGGUCUUCGGAUCGUAAAACUCUGUUAUUAGGGAAGAACAUAUGUGUAAGUAACUGUGCACAUCUUGACGGUACCUAAUCAGAAAGCCACGGCUAACUACGUGCCAGCAGCCGCGGUAAUACGUAGGUGGCAAGCGUUAUCCGGAAUUAUUGGGCGUAAAGCGCGCGUAGGCGGUUUUUUAAGUCUGAUGUGAAAGCCCACGGCUCAACCGUGGAGGGUCAUUGGAAACUGGAAAACUUGAGUGCAGAAGAGGAAAGUGGAAUUCCAUGUGUAGCGGUGAAAUGCGCAGAGAUAUGGAGGAACACCAGUGGCGAAGGCGACUUUCUGGUCUGUAACUGACGCUGAUGUGCGAAAGCGUGGGGAUCAAACAGGAUUAGAUACCCUGGUAGUCCACGCCGUAAACGAUGAGUGCUAAGUGUUAGGGGGUUUCCGCCCCUUAGUGCUGCAGCUAACGCAUUAAGCACUCCGCCUGGGGAGUACGACCGCAAGGUUGAAACUCAAAGGAAUUGACGGGGGCCCGCACAAGCGGUGGAGCAUGUGGUUUAAUUCGAAGCAACGCGAAGAACCUUACCAAAUCUUGACAUCCUUUGACAACUCUAGAGAUAGAGCUUUCCCCUUCGGGGGACAAAGUGACAGGUGGUGCAUGGUUGUCGUCAGCUCGUGUCGUGGGAUGUUGGGUUAAGUCCCGCAACGAGCGCAACCCUUAAGCUUAGUUGCCAUCAUUAAGUUGGGCACUCUAAGUUGACUGCCGGUGACAAACCGGAGGAAGGUGGGGAUGACGUCAAAUCAUCAUGCCCCUUAUGAUUUGGGCUACACACGUGCUACAAUGGACAAUACAAAGGGCAGCGAAACCGCGAGGUCAAGCAAAUCCCAUAAAGUUGUUCUCAGUUCGGAUUGUAGUCUGCAACUCGACUACAUGAAGCUGGAAUCGCUAGUAAUCGUAGAUCAGCAUGCUACGGUGAAUACGUUCCCGGGUCU
rnacentral:rRNA from 1 species